GUGCUCGUUUCAGCAGCACACAUGCUAAAAUUGGAAUGAUACAGAGAAGAUUAGCAUGGCCGCUGCACAAGGAUGACACGCAAAUUCGUGAAGUGUUCCAUUAAAAA